rnacentral:rRNA from 1 species
AUACGGGGGGUGCAAGCGUUAUACGGAUUUAUUGGGCGUAAAGGGCGCGUAGGCGGCUUGGAAAGUCAGAUGUGAAAGCCCGGGGCUCAACCCCGGAAGUGCAUUUGAAACUAUCAGGCUUGAGUAUGGGAGAGGGAAGUGGAAUUCCUGGUGUAGAGGUGAAAUUCGUAGAUAUCAGGAGGAACACCGGUGGCGAAGGCGACUUCCUGGACCAAUACUGACGCUGAGGCGCGAAGGCGUGGGGAGCAAACAGGAUUAGAAACCCCGGUAGUCC